GUGGUAAUGCCGGAUGCUCCAGUUGAUCGCAUGGUCUUCUGGGNAAGCUUUCGCGGUAUGGGAUGGGGUCGCGUCCUAUCAGCUUGACGGCGGGGUAACGGCCCACCGUGGCUUCGACGGGUAGCCGGCCUGAGAGGGCGACCGGCCACAUUGGGACUGAGAUACGGCCCAGACUCCUACGGGAGGCAGCAGUGGGGAAUAUUGCACAAUGGGCGCAAGCCUGAUGCAGCGACGCCGCGUGAGGGAUGGAGGCCUUCGGGUUGUAAACCUCUUUUAUCGGGGAGCAAGCGAGAGUGAGUUUACCCGUUGAAUAAGCACCGGCUAACUACGUGCCAGCAGCCGCGGUAAUACGUAGGGUGCAAGCGUUAUCCGGAAUUAUUGGGCGUAAAGGGCUCGUAGGCGGUUCGUCGCGUCCGGUGUGAAAGUCCAUCGCUUAACGGUGGAUCCGCGCCGGGUACGGGCGGGCUUGAGUGCGGUAGGGGAGACUGGAAUUCCCGGUGUAACGGUGGAAUGUGUAGAUAU
rnacentral:rRNA from 1 species